rnacentral:rRNA from 1 species
AACGUAGGUGGCGAGCGUUAUCCGGAUUUACUGGGCGUAAAGGGUGUGCAGGCGGGCUGUUAAGUGGUGUAUGAAAUAUCCCGGCUCAACCGGGAGAGGUUAUGCCAGACUGGCAGUCUAGAGAGCGAGAGAGGGACGUGGAAUUCCGGGUGUAGUGGUGAAAUGCGUAGAUAUCAGGAAGAACACCAAUGGCGAAAGCAGCUCUCUGGGACGGUACUGACGCUGAGACGCGAAAGCGUGGGGAGCGAACAGG